UAACAGAUAUCUUUCUAAAAAGAUAGAUGUA
rnacentral:piRNA from 1 species